ensembl:miRNA
AGCAGCAAGAGGUAGAAUCCAAAAGAGGAGAAGAGCAGCCUGCAGAUGUGGACUGCUAAAUGCAGGCUGAUCUUCUCCUCUUUGGGAUUCUCUUGUGAGAGGCCA